AGCCAGCACCACGUUCACCCUCCCUUGGCACCCAUCCACAUCCUGGCUCCACCAGCCAGGGUGCUCUCCCCCAGAGCCAGUGGGUGGGAUCUGGAAACUGCCUGCCCAGCAGACGGACAGUGGGAAUGGAGGAGGCGGGACCCAGCCACAAAGAUCAUUGCCACCGAGGAGAGCAGGGGAGCAACCUCCUGGCUGGCAGGGAUGACGGUCACCCUCACAUCACCACACACACUGAGCAAACAAGGAGGCGGAUGCUGAGAGGCAAAGGAGCUGAGAGCAGACGACAAGUGAGUGGGCAGGGAUUCUCCCAAGGACUUGGGUUCCAGAGCCAGGCUUUGAAGUCCGGUCGGCUGAGCACCAACUACGUGCUGGAUGCUGUUGUGGGCACUGGGGAUGCCGUGAAGCACCAGAUCAAAACACUAGGCCACCUCUGAACGCUGGGACAGUGCGGCACGAACCUUCAGCUGAGGGGAUUCCUAGGGGCUCAGAGGGAGAAAGGCCCGACAAGCCACCUGUUCCAGCCUUCUCAAUGCUGUAUCCUCUCUACCACACCCCGGGGAGUGGUACUCUCUCUAGGACAGGAGGCUCACUACCUCGUAAGAGGAACCAUUCCAGAAUAGGCAAUGCUAACAGAAAGGCCCUCCCUAAGCCAAACCGACAUCCUCCUCAUUUCUUCUGCCCUCUGAGACACCCCCAUGAAAUAUCCCAUCACCUAUGACUCCUCUUCACCUACAGCCCUUCAAAUACUUUGUGUUACCCUUAAAUCUUCUCUUCUUAAAGAGUAUAUUUCCUCAGAUUUUAAACCAUUCCUCAGACACUGCCUGGCCUUGCUCUGGCUUGUCAAUGCCCCCAAGGCCUGCUGCUCGGACCGCUGUCCAAAAAUGACCAAGUGACCAUCGAGGACAUGCAGGACGGAAUGUCACCCUGACCUCAAGUUCUGCCUCACCUCAGCCUGGGGAUGGAUGGCAAAGGCCCGGGCAGGAGGAGCCACACGGGUGGAGGGUGAGGACAGUCACAAAGAAAGGAGACACCAGUGUAGACAAGAGCUGUCAGUAAAGGCUUCGUGGAAGAGCCAAUGAAACCUUCCACCACAGAAUUAAAGGUAAGUCACCAUCUCCUGCCAGCAGUGACAAAUGCAUCCCUUUCACAUGGCUUCUCUCAAGAAGACCUACGCACGCUCCAUAAGCCCGGGAAAAGAUGCUCCACACCAUUAGUCAUCAGAGAAAUGCAAAUCAAAGCCCCAGGGAGAAGCCACUUCACAUCCACAAACACGGCUGCCAUUAAAAAGCCAGACAGACAGUGCUGGUGAGGACGUGGGGAACUGCACACACUGCUGGUGGGAAUGCAAAAUGGCACAAAUCUGCUUUACAAAAUAGCUCAGCAGUUUCUUAAAAAGCCUAUUCACCCGUGAUCUAGCAAUUCUACUCUUCGAUAUCCACCCGCAAGGAAUGAAAACAUCGGUCUGCGUAGACUAUGCAUGAACACUCAGAGCGGUGUUACUCACAUGGCUCAGGAGUGAAAACAACUCACUAGCUUUGUAAUGUUUACUUAAUUCUACUUUCAAGGCUCAAACCCCUUUCCCCACAUACACCCCCUGCUGGGCAACUGAGAAUUGCUCCAGGCUCUGAAGCUCUCCCUCCCAGGUGUGCGGAAGCCACUCCCCCACCCCCCCCACCCUCCCACUGGCCCUCCCUCAGGGCCCAGCCUGAGUUCACUUCCUCAGCUCUUCACUGCUGUGCUUCCCUCCAGCUUCUUCCCACUUCUGUCAUCCUCCGAACCACCUCCCAGACUCACGCCCCUAAGAACACCCAUCUUGUCACUCCUCAAAAGCAUUCGAUGGCUCCCCAGUGCCUACGGAACAGAUCCAAAUUCUUCAGCCUGGUAUCCCCAACAUCCUUCACAAUAUGGCCCUGAAGCAUCUUUCUGAAAUUACCCCUGACUAUGCCCCUGCUUUCCAUGAAGUUUCCACUCAUUCUUUAAGGUACAGCUGAAGCUGUUCCUCUUCCAGGAAGCCGCCCCAGAUCACCACUACUGGAGCAUGUGUUGCCCAUACCACUUCUCUAGCCCUGAGCCUAUGCUGCGUAGGCCUUGUCUUUACAAGAACCAGCCUGUGAACUCAAGGGCAGCCACCAAGUCUUAAAACAAAAGAUGUAGCCAACAUGCUAGCCA